rnacentral:rRNA from 1 species
GGGGGUGGAGGAGUUUGAUCCUGGCUCAGAUUGAACGCUGGCGGCAGGCCUAACACAUGCAAGUCGAACGGUAGCACAGAGAGCUUGCUCUCGGGUGACGAGUGGCGGACGGGUGAGUAAUGUCUGGGAAACUGCCCGAUGGAGGGGGAUAACUACUGGAAACGGUAGCUAAUACCGCAUAAUGUCGCAAGACCAAAGAGGGGGACCUUCGGGCCUCUUGCCAUCGGAUGUGCCCAGAUGGGAUUAGCUUGUAGGUGGGGUAACGGCUCACCUAGGCGACGAUCCCUAGCUGGUCUGAGAGGAUGACCAGCCACACUGGAACUGAGACACGGUCCAGACUCCUACGGGAGGCAGCAGUGGGGAAUAUUGCACAAUGAGCGCAAGCCUGAUGCAGCCAUGCCGCGUGUAUGAAGAAGGCCUUCGGGUUGUAAAGUACUUCAGCGAGGAGGAAGGCGUUGUGGUUAAUAACCACAGCGAUUGAC